UACGGAGGGUGCAAGCGUUAUCCGGAUUCACUGGGUUUAAAGGGUGUGUAGGCGGGUAUUUAAGUCAGUGGUGAAAUCUCCGGGCUCAACCCGGAAACUGCCAUUGAUACUAUUUAUCUUGAAUAUUGUUGAGGUAGGCGGAAUAUAUCAUGUAGCGGUGAAAUGCAUAGAUAUGAUAUAGAACACUGAUUGCGAAGGCAGCUUGCUAAACAAUUAUUGACGCUGAGGCACGAAAGCGUGGGGAUCAAACAGG
rnacentral:rRNA from 1 species